rnacentral:lncRNA from 1 species
CUAAAAGACUUAUUUAAAAUACGAUCUUAACACUUUAAAUCUUUUUGCAGAUAUGGUUAUCAUAUUUCAAAAACUUCAUAUUUCUUGUGUUAUGAUCCCCCUACCAUCAAAAACAUAUUUGAAAGACUUCGCAAUUUUCAUUCUCCAAAAGAAUAUCCAAAAAUUUGUGGGACUUAUUCUAUAUUGCAUAUACGGGAUGUUACUACUGGGUAUGACAGCAGCCAGCCUAAUAAGAAAUCAGUGCUGCCUAUGA